ensembl:lncRNA
AUUUCUGUGACGGAAUGAUCAUCUAGAGUUAGGGAGGGAUCAAAGAGCAAGGGUGAUGGAGGGCAUGGCAUGCCAUCACCUAAGACACCAAGUCAUCAAUGAACUCCAGUGGUAAACUUUGAGUGGGCUGAAGCUCGACAGCACUCAAGUACAGAUCAAUGGGGCCUGCUUCCAGAUCGUCUGGCACAGACAGUACCUGCUCGGGCUUAUACAUCUGAGGAGGCAACUGGAAGUGCAAUGGACAGCAGGGGUCCUCAGAAAGGUUAACAGGAACUGGCUUGUUGCAGGGUACCUCUUCAGAUCCCUGGCAGCAUUUGAAGAGAACCUGAUUUGUAUCCUGACAGAUAUGGGUAAGACAGUGUCCGGUCUUUGGAAGAGACUGAUUGGAGCAGUGAACAUCAUCCACAAAGGCUAAGCACCUCUGACUGGAACGAGUGGUAUGAGCCUGUUGAGCAGCCCCCUCUGUGGCCAGCAUUCUGCGUUCCUUCAGCUGCCUGUGUAGUAAGGCUUCUACUCCAUAGCGUUGGUGGUAUCGCCUGAGACAUUUUAGUCGCUUUAAAUUCUCUCUCUCUUUGGCCCAAAGUCCCUGGGGGCCAGUCAGGAGACUACUACCUAAAGCUUCGUGUUCCACUUUCCGAUUAUGUAAGUAACGGCGCUUCUUCUCUUUGAGCAGGUGCUGUAGUCGUUUAAACUGAUCAAUGUACAAAGACUGCAAACGUAUCAGCUUUUCUCUCAUAAUACGAGCCACCUCCUCAGCUGUAUAGACACCUGCAUGUCCAGUAUCAGGCUCGCCUCACUUCGGCUACUCUCUGGGGUCUGCGAGCCCAGCUCUGUUUUAGCAUAUGAGCUCAACUGGCACAAGAGGGUUUCACCCAUAGGGCCUGGGUUACUCUUCUUCACUUGAGCAUGAAGUGCUAGGGCAUUCCUUCGAGCAUGUUCAGCACAGAAAGACACCCCAUCUUUCUUCUCGGGUUUUGGGGCAGCACUGGGGCAUCUUUUCCCAUUCUUUGUCGAAAUGUAACUACAUUGUUUGAAGGGUGCAUUCUUGUCUUCAAGAAUAUGCUUAAGGCAAAACUCCUGCCCCUCCAGACGCGGCUGAGAGCACGGGCGGUGAGUGAACGAACAAGAGAUCUGGGCACUGGGGUGAUACUCCCCAGAUUCGUUGGCAAGACAUGAAUCCGAAUCCUGUUCAUACCAAAACCGUAUCACCCCAGAUUCGUUGGCAAGACAUGAAUCCGAAUCCUGUUCAUACCAAAACCGUUGGCCGAGUCUCCACAGCAGCUGACCGGAAGCGCGGCGCCUGUCCCAUGCGGCACCACUGCAAGGGCGCGCCCCACCCUCACGCCUCAGCCCGCCGCCUUUGUCCCUAGCCACCUCAGAGCUUACAGCCCAGGCCCGAGCGCCUACGCGGUCAUCUUGCGAGCGCCAUCUUGUCCUAUGGCUCCAGGCACGAGAGAACCUGGCUCCCGAAAGCCCAACAAUCAGAAUGACUCUGAUGCUGCAGGAGACGACAUACCGCGCUGAGUUGAUAGAAAGGAUGGUAAGCUGUGUCAAGAUGAAGCUGAGUAUCUCCUUCCCAUCCAGCAGCUGUCAGAAGCUCCUUGACAUGGACAGUGAACACAAAUGGACAGUGAAUAGCUGCAGUUCUUGGGUGCUCUGGGUGAAGAGCAGAAAGGGUUGGGAUACUCUGAGCAGGAUAUUGUGGGAUAAUCUAAGGAAAUAUGAAUAGAGAUGAAGCUGUAGAUCAACACCAGAAGACAUUCAAAGCUCAGCAAUGGCCUCAGAGAAAAAACCACCAAAGCUUUAAGAAGCAUGGAAGAAUUGGAGUCGUGUUUCUAUUAAAAUGGAG